UGGGGAAUAUUGGACAAUGGGCGAAAGCCUGAUCCAGCCAUGCCGCGUGUGUGAAGAAGGUCUUCGGAUUGUAAAGCACUUUAAGUUGGGAGGAAGGGCAUUAACCUAAUACGUUAGUGUUUUGACGUUACCGACAGAAUAAGCACCGGCUAACUCUGUGCCAGCAGCCGCGGUAAUACAGAGGGUGCAAGCGUUAAUCGGAAUUACUGGGCGUAAAGCGCGCGUAGGUGGUUUGUUAAGUUGGAUGUGAAAUCCCCGGGCUCAACCUGGGAACUGCAUUCAAAACUGACUGACUAGAGUAUGGUAGAGGGUGGUGGAAUUUCCUGUGUAGCGGUGAAAUGCGUAGAUACAGGAAGGAACACCAGUGGCGAAGGCGACCACCUGGACUAAUACUGACACUGAGGUGCGAAAGCGUGGGGAGCAAACA
rnacentral:rRNA from 1 species